rnacentral:rRNA from 1 species
GACGAACCGUGCGAACGUUGUUCGGAAUCACUGGGCUUAAAGGGCGCGUAGGCGGCCGGGUUGGUCGUGGGUGAAAUCCCCCAGCUUAACUGGGGAAUUGCCUACGAUACUGCCUGGCUCGAGGGAGGAAGGGGCGGCCGGAACUGUCGGUGGAGCGGUGAAAUGCGUUGAGAUCGACAGGAACACCCAGGGGGAAACAGUCGACUGGGCAUCUACUGACGCUGAGGUGCGAGAGCGUGGGGAGCGAACCGG